GAUGGACAAAAUAAUCAGAGUUUGUUCGGAAAAAACAAUUUCAAUCAAAAUUUAAACAAUAACAAUAUAACAAAUGAAAACAAAAUAGAUAACGACUCUUCUACAGAAUCAUCUGUAGAUGGUAAUAAAACAUAUAUGAAUGACAUUCGCCAAAAUUAUUUUUUUUGUGAAUUAUUUUUAGAGCAAUCUAACACAUGUAGAAUAAAAAAUAAUAAACAUAUUACUACCGUUUUUAAAAAUUUGAACACUAUUGGGCAAAAUAGGCACUUGUUACAAAUGUAUAAUUUGUUAGUUAGGAAUGGCAAUGGUGGUAAUCAGGCGGUAGAAGCACAUGGUGAACGUUAUGAAACUGGUAUUGACACUGGAAGUGAUACUGGUAGUGACACUGGAAGUAACAGUGGAAGUAACACUGGAAGUGACACUGGAAGGGACACUGGAAGGGACACUGGAAGGCACAAUCGAAGUAAAGUUAGUGACAAAAGAUGUGGUCAUAUUUCAAAGCAAGAAGAAUAUAGAAACGAACAACAUAGUAUAAUAUAUAACAUGGACAUAUUUUUGUCAUUCUUUCUAAGAGUUUUAGUAAUACACUUAAAUAGUUUCAAAUUAAAUGACAGUAAUUCCUAUUUUUUUAAAAACUUUGACUCUUUAUAUAUACCUAAUGAAAUUAUAAAAAUGAGUUAUCCAAUUAAUUAUUUUAAUAUUAAUUUAUUUGUAAUAUUAUUGGAACUUUUUUAUUUAUUUAUACGGAUAUAUAACAAUUAUUUUAUUAGUCGAAGCAGGAGAAGGCAUAGACGUCUAAAUGGAAGUCCAAGUUUAAGUCUAAGUCUAGGCCCCAGUGGAAGUGGAAGUGGAAGUGGAAGUGCAAGUGCAAAUCUAAGCCCAAGUCUAAGUCUAGGCCCCAGUGGAAGUGGAUGUGCAAGUGCAAAUCUAAGCCCAAGUCUAAGCCCAAGUCUAAGCCCAAGUCUAAGUCUAGGCCCCAGUGGAAGUGGAAGUGCAAAUCUUAGAGGGCAAACCGCUUUUUCGCAUAAAAAUGCUGAUACACUCAAUAAACGCGGGGACAUACAUUUAAAACGAAACGAACACAGGUGUGACAAUAUAUACGUAAAAACACUAAAAGAAAUACUGAAAGAGUGUUACACAUACCAUUCUGUACAUAUGGAAAAUGAAAAAAAAAUAAAAAAAAUGUUUUUUUUAAAACAUAUAUUGUUAUACUUUUUGUAUAACCGUAUAAAUUUGAUAUACGAAUUAAUUUAUAAUUUUUUUGUGAAUCGUAAUCAAUGGCAUAAAGAGAGGCUACUGUUGAAUGAAGACAAGAAUCAAAUGGAAAAUAAAACAAACAGACUAACACACAAACAUAUAUCUAACAUGGUAAACAAACAUGUAUAUAAAUACCUGCGAAAUAUAUUAUACGACCAGAUAGACAAAAUAAACUAUUUUUUAGAACACAACCAAUAUUAUUAUUAUUUUUAUAUAAGCACCUUAACAUUUAUUACUUUAAAUACACAUAUAUGUUUACACAUUAUAAAAAAUAAUAUUAUAACAAAAUUGAUAUACAUACCUAUAAUAUAUCAUUCUAUAUUCGACAAGCACAAAAAAUUUAGUUCUAUUUAUUUAAUUGAAAAUGAUAAGUACAUACGAAAUAAAAAUCACAUCACAUUUUGCUCAUUAAUAGUGUUAAUAAUUAAAAUGUUAUAUAUUUUUGUUAAUAAUUUUAAAAGAGAAAAAAAAACUAAUGUAAACACGUUUUAUCAUCAUUUAAAAAAAACGUUGAAUUUGCAUACAGACAGUGUAUUUUUAAAUGAAAGCUUAUUUGUAGAUGCACAUGCAUCGGAUGGUAGCAGUUGCUCAUAUGGCGAUAGUUUUCAUUUAGGUUUGACCAAUCGUGAUGACCAUACACCCCAACGUAAGUUGUAUAAAUCAAAUUUGAAAGAUUAUAAAAAAGGAAUGUCAAAAAAAGAAGAACACAAAAAUGACGAAUGGUUUUUAUCAAAGAUGUCAUCUCCAAGUAAAAACUAUGAGCAAGUUAAUAUCGAAUCGGAUCAGAUUGGAGGUGCAAGUGGUAGUAGCAGUAGUAGUGGCAGUAGUAGUAGUGAUAGCAGUAGUAGUAGUGAUAGCAGUAGUAGUAGUGAUAGCAAUAGUAGUGAUAGCAGUGGCAAUAGUGAAGGAUUAAAAAAAAAAAAAAGAAAUACCAAAACUUAUAAAGCUUACCAAGCAACCCUAACAAGUGCAAUGGCCAAUUACAAUGACACACGAACUCACCUCACAACAAACCAUGACAAAAACCAUGACAAAAACCACGACAAAAACCACGACAAAAUCUUAAACUAUAGUAGCGAAACUCAUUUUUUUUUAUCGGCCAUGAUGAAUAUUAUAAGUAUACUAUCAGAUCGUAUAAAAUUUAUUUUUUAUAAUAUAGCAAAAAUAAACUGCUUAGCUAUUUUAGAAGAAUCUUAUUUAUAUAUAGAAUUAUUAACAAAAUUUUCUUAUUUUUGUAGUAUAUACAACAUAAACAGUUUUAUAAUUUCUCUUAUGAAUAAACGUGUAGAACAUCAUUUGUGUUAUUUGAAUAAUGUUUUAGAAAAAUUUAUUUAUGAAAAAAGUGUCAUUAUUAAGCCUUACAGUCCGUAUGAGAUGGCUGCAUCUGUUAACUUGCCACACACUGCACAUCUGGAUAUGCAACAAAACGUACCAGCAAAUAUGCAACAAAACGCACCAGCAAAUAUGCAACAAAACGNNNNNNNNNNCACCAGCAAAUAUGCAACAAAACGCACCAGCAAAUAUGCAACAAAACUUAUUACCAACUUUCCCGCCAUCCACUUCAAAAAAAGAGAAACCCAAAAAAUAUAUAUAUACUGACCUAUCUCUAUUCACACAACGAGUCUUAUAUAUAACUUACAAAUCUAUACUGAAUUAUACUACUAUACUUUUAAAU
ensembl:lncRNA